GGAGUUAGCCGGUGCUUCUUCUGUGAGUGAUGUCCUUCCUGCCGGUUAUUGACCCGCAGGCCUUCUUCCUCACUGAAAGUGCUUUACAACCCGAAGGCCUUCUUCACACACGCGGCAUGGCUGGAUCAGGGUUGCCCCCAUUGUCCAAUAUUCCCCACUGCUGCCUCCCGUAGGAGUCUGGGCCGUGUCUCAGUCCCAGUGUGGCUGAUCAUCCUCUCAGACCAGCUACGGAUCGUCGCCUUGGUGAGCCGUUACCUCACCAACCAGCUAAUCCGACAUAGGCUCAUCCGAUAGCGCGAGGCCCGAAGGUCCCCCGCUUUCCCCCGUAGGGCGUAUGCGGUAUUAGCCUGGGUUUCCCCAGGUUAUCCCCCACUACCGGGGCAGAUUCCUAUGCAUUACUCACCCGUCCGCCGCUCGCCACCAGGGAGCAAGCUCCCCGUGCUGCCGCUCGACUUGCAUGUGUUAGGCCUGCCGCCAGCGUUCAAUCUGAGCCAGAAUCAAACUCUGA
rnacentral:rRNA from 1 species